AUGUGCGGUAGAGGCGCGGAAUAAAUAAGUAAUGCUUGUUGGGGUGAUGCCGAUGAACAAGUAGGAAAGGUUAUUUCGCCGAAGUGGGCUAUCAAAUCAAAGAUGCUUGCUGGGGUUACACUCGAAAGGGGUAACACUGCCAUAGUCUAUAAUUUGUAAAACUAUGGAGCGCUACUGUAGGG
rnacentral:ncRNA from 1 species